AAAAUCAAGAGUUGCCGUCUCCCUCCACUAGAGGAAAAACAGCAGGAAGCACUAUGCAUAGUUGAUCUUGACGUCGUCUAAAGGACUAACUACUGGAUCAUCUGAGAUGGAGGGAGAGAAGUACGUGCAACUGGGGUGAAAGCAGCCGACUGCUGAUGGCCAAUAUGACCCCAAGGACCACGAUGGCAUGGACAUGGGACAUGGAUGGGUAGCUUCUGGAUGAAGAAGA